AGAAUGUCGCGGUGAAUACGUUCCCGGGCCUUGUACACACCGCCCGUCACACCAUGAGAGCUGGUAACACCCGAAGUCCGUGAGGCAACCGUAAGGAGCCAGCGGCCGAAGGUGGGAUUAGUGAUUGGGGUGAAGUCGUAACAAGGUAGCCGUAGGAGAACCUGCGGCUGGAUCACCUCCUUUCUAAGGAGA
rnacentral:rRNA from 1 species